UAUUUCUAAUUUUUGCGAUAUUAAGUUUGAUAAUUCAAUUUGUUUAGGGAGGACUACUUUGGUAGAGAGGAGAGCUUGAAUGACCAUUGAAUUUGGUUCUCUUUGGAAAGGCUUUUAUUUGUUUGUUUAUUUUUGGGAAAAAUUUUAAUUCGAAAAAGAAAAUUGAAAUUUGGAAAGAGAGUUGCUUUAUUUGGUAAUUAUUUAGCAGCAUUUCAUUAUUUCUGGUCAAAAUUGAUGCUAAGAAUGGGAUACUUGCCUUUUUCACUCUGUUUAGGUUGGCCUUUGAUAAAAUGGUAUUUGGACAUUUCUUGUUAUGAUGAAGCAGACACCCAGUUGAGAUGCCAUCAAAUGCAUGACACUAAGAAUAACCAGCUGAAAGACUAUCUAAUAUAUUUAGUUUGAUUGCGAAGGAAAAGAUUGUAAAUGUAUUGUCUUCUGCUUUGCUUAGGAAAGAUCUACCCGCUGCACUAGGAUUUAUUUAUUUAUUUCUGAAACAUCUAUGUUCUUGCCUUUUGAAUCGUAGGAAAAAUCAUUUGUCUUUUAUGUAUUACCUUUCAAGUGGUUAUCGCUUCAUCUUUAGGUUGUCCAUAUGAUCAUGGAAACUUGCAAAAAAAAAAAAAAAAAAAAGAAAAAGAACCAGCUUA